rnacentral:tRNA from 1 species
GUGCCCGUAGCUCAGCUGGAUAGAGCAACAGCCUUCUAAGCUGUAAGUCGUAGGUUCAAAUCCUACCGGGCACA